UCGCUGAAAGAUGGGCUCAUAUCUGAUUAGCUGGUUGGUGAGGUAACGGCUCACCAAGGCUGCGAUCAGUAGCCGGACUGAGAGGUUGAACGGCCACAUUGGGACUGAGAUACGGCCCAAACUCCUACGGGAGGCAGCAGUGGGGAAUAUUGCACAAUGGGCGAAAGCCUGAUGCAGCGACGCCGCGUGAGUGAAGAAGUAUUUCGGUAUGUAAAGCUCUAUCAGCAGGGAAGAAAAUGACGGUACCUGACUAAGAAGCCCCGGCUAACUACGUGCCAGCAGCCGCGGUAAUACGUAGGGGGCAAGCGUUGUCCGGAAUUACUGGGUGUAAAGGGAGCGUAGACGGCUUUGCAAGCCAGAUGUGAAAGCCCGGGGCUCAACCCCGGGACUGCAUUUGGAACUGUAAUGCUAGAGUGUCGGAGAGGCAAGUGGAAUUCCUAGUGUAGCGGUGAAAUGCGUAGAUAUUAGGAGGAACACCAGUGGCGAAGGCGGCUUGCUGGACGAUGACUGACGUUGAGGCUCGAAAGCGUGGGGAGCAAACAGGAUUA
rnacentral:rRNA from 1 species